AAGAUCUCGAAGCUUAGAAACCUCUGCAGACCCUAAACUUCUUCAGAUCAACGAAGAUGGUCAAACCCAAAACCAGAUGAUUUGUGGGUACGAAAAGUUCAGGGAGGAAAGAAUCAAAGAAAAUCUUGAGAGGAUGAAAAAACUUGGCAUUCUCGAUCUCUCUCUCAAACUUAAAAAUACUCCAAAACCCUUAAACCCCAAGAAUAACAAUAAUAGCCCCUCUAUUCAAAAAACCCAUCAGCGUCUCUCUCCUUUACCGCCCUCUGGAUCCGUCCGUCGCUCUCCUAGGUACUGUUAUCUUGGCCCAUUAUUUUUUUACUUUUAAUUGGCUUUUCAAUGUAUUUAGUGAAUAUGUUGAGCGAUGAGUAUUUUUAUUUUCUUUUUUAACUUCGGUGGAUUAUGAUUUGGGUCGUUGUUAAUUAAUGUUGGAAUAUCUUUUAUUUAUUUAUUUUUUAUUUGGGUGAAGCAGUUCUGUCGACCUGUUAAUUUGGAAGAUAAUUAGUUUUUAAAUCUGCAAUAGCAAUAGCUUUACUUUCUGUGAAUUUAUUUCAUUCGCCGUUUGUGAGAGUUUAUUUUGCUAGUUGUAGCUGUAUUUUAAUAGGAAUUUCCUACCAAAUUAUGAUCUCCUUAAAUUUUCCUAUUCCUUUUGGUGGGAAUAUAGGUUGGGUAAUGUGACCCCAGUCAGCUACACCGAGGCUCAUUUGUCAAAGAAAGUUUGGUUUGAAACAGAGGCCGAGUUGCUCAGAGAGGGUUCUAAACCAGAGAUUUACACAGAAGAACAUGAAAAACUAUUAGGUGACACAAACAUGAGUUGGACCUUGUUCGUGGAUGGAUAUGGCAAGGAUGGGAAAAGAAUUUAUGAUCCAAUAAGAGGAAAGACUUGUCAUCAGUGCAGGUUUGGGAUAGACUCCUCAAAUUCGGAAAAUUGGUUCAUGUCUCUUUUUGUUAUAAUUAUUUUUAAGAUAGCUUUGUGUUGCUUAAAAUGCUUUUCAUUAUUGCAGUUUUUCUUUGUUGAGAAGUUAAAUUCAUAUUUCUGGACGUUUUCAACUAGUUCAUAUCUCAAGGUCAUGCAUAAAAUAAAAGGAUAACAGUCUUUAUUUUUCUUUUUUUCCCAAUAAGUAUGUGUAGACUUAUUUGAAGUUCUUUCUUUCACAUAUAAGGUUUGACAAGAUUGGUGUUAUGUUGUCAUCUUCAUUUAUGUAAUACCAUAAUGGAGAGUUCGGAGGAUCAGAAAUCCAGGUCUUGGUAUAUUGAGUGUUUUCUCCAUUUGACUAUUACACCAUUAUUUACUUCCCUUCAUUUGAAACUUUAAUAUAACAAUAUUCCAGGAAGGGUUCAUGUAGCUUUUGUAAUGGACCAGUAAUCAAAUAAUUUUCCAUUUUUAUGAAGUGCCCACCUUGUUUUGCAGGCAGAAAACUCUCGGUCAUCGCACACAAUGUAGCCAAUGUAACAAGAUCCAAGGACAGUUUUGUGGAGAUUGCUUGUACAUGAGGUAUAUAACUAGCAGACAAAAUCAAUAUCACUGUCAUAAAUAUCAGACUUUGGUCUUUUCUUAUGUUUUUAUGAUGCUUUAUAGUGCUUUUAUGAUGCUUCAUUAUGUCAACUUAAAAACCUGUUGGCCUUUUAAAUAUCUCGACAUUUUCUUUAGUAUAAAAAUUGCUUGACACGAUUUUAUUUUGAUUAGUGAUGUAGGUUUUAAAGGCGGGGUGGGGAUGGGGGUGUGUUAGAAGGUGUGAAAGAACUCAGCAUAUAAAGUUACUUGUACAUCAUCAAACAAAAACAAACUCCUUUCACAUUGGCAUUGAUACACUGGUUUGGGAAGUUGUCCCUCAUCACUUUGGCUGACAUAAAGACAGAUUAUUAUUCCUUGCAAACCUAUAUGAAGACAGAUUAUUAUUCCUUGCAAACCUAUAUGAAAUAUCCACUUUUUACUGGUCCAGCCAGUUGACCAAUCUUUAAUUUUUCCUAUUUAGAUUCUGGAUUCUCCUAGUUUUCUCUCAUUCUUUAACAACCUAAGAUAAUUUUAGGAAAUUGCCUGCAGUGCUCAAUUACUUGNNNNNNNNNNNNNNNNNNNNNNNNNNNNNNNNNNNNNNNNNNNNNNNNNNNNNNNNNNNNNNNNNNNNNNNNNNNNNNNNNNNNNNNNNNNNNNNNNNNNGAAGGUAAUCAAUUGACAUCCACACCUUCAGUUUUUUCAUAGUGAAAUUGGUAGCCAAACCUUCAGACUAAGGUAACCAAUCAAUUUCGUUUGAAUGUGAUGCAGUUGAUAGCCAACCAUUCAUACAAAGGUAACCAUUUAUUAUGUAUGAGUAACAAAAUAGUUAUAAAAAAAAUUUCAGAACAUUAAAAGUUACAUCUAUUUAUUUUUAAAUUUUUUGUAGGGCGAAUCUUCUUUUUAUUGUCAUUGACGUUUUGGACAACGGAGAUUCGCGGCGGUGUAGCGACGGAGUAUGUGAGGUGUAGCGGCGGAUUAUUAUUUCAAAGUGUAUGUGAGGGAGAUAAAGAUUUGAAUUUAAAUUAUUAUUUUGAAUUUGAAUUUGUUUUUGUUGUCAAAUCCAAAUAUUUGAAUUUAAAUUAUUAAUUAUGGCAGUUAUUUAUCCUUAAUUUUAAUUUUAGGUUUCCUUAUUAAUGUGAAUUGUACUAUUUUUAUAAUAUGGGUCAUAAUUACAUUCUUUUUAUAAUUAUUUAGUUGAUGCACUUUUUUGUAAUUACUUUCUAUUUGUUGUAUAUUUAUGUAAGAAGCCCACUUUUUUUUUUUUAAAUAAUUCAAAUACCCAUAAUUCAUGGAACAAUACUCGAUUAAAAUCGACCGUUGGAGAAUCCUUGGGAGUAUAAAUUACUCAGAGACCACAGUAGCACUGUAACAAUGGUGGUUAUGGGACAAAGAUCUCGAAGCUUAGAAACCUCUGCAGACCCUAAACUUCUUCAGAUCAACGAAGAUGGUCAAACCCAAAACCAGAUGAUUUGUGGGUACGAAAAGUUCAGGGAGGAAAGAAUCAAAGAAAAUCUUGAGAGGAUGAAAAAACUUGGCAUUCUCGAUCUCUCUCUCAAACUUAAAAAUACUCCAAAACCCUUAAACCCCAAGAAUAACAAUAAUAGCCCCUCUAUUCAAAAAACCCAUCAGCGUCUCUCUCCU
rnacentral:lncRNA from 1 species